rnacentral:rRNA from 1 species
UACGGGGGGUGCGAGCGUUAAUCGGAAUAACUGGGCGUAAAGGGCACGCAGGCGGACGUUUACGUGGGGUGUGAAAUCCCCGGGCUUAACCUGGGAAUUGCAUCUCAGACUGGGAGUCUAGAGUACUUUAGGGAGGGGUAGAAUUCCACGUGUAGUGGUGAAAUGCGUAGAGAUGUGGAGGAAUACCGAAGGCGAAGGCAGCCCCUUGGGAAUGUACUGACGCUCAUGUGCGAAAGCGUGGGGAGCAAACAGG